UCAAUAUGGCGUCCGAAAAAUUCCUAAGCUGCUCAGCUAAUUUUAUAUUGGAAAACACGCAAUUUGGUGAAUUUUUUCCGGACAAUUGGAAUCGUCAACGGUCAUUUUCGAGCGGAACACCUCCUGCCGGUUGAACGGUUGAUAUUUUCCCGGUCAUCCCGGUUUAUAUUCGGUUGGAAUCUCGAUUUUAAACAAGUAAUUAUUUUUUAGUAUUUGAAAAUAAAUUAUAUUUUUUAUA